rnacentral:rRNA from 1 species
AGCGAACGUUAGCGGCGGGCCUAACACAUGCAAGUCGAACGCGAAAGGUCUUCGGACUGAGUAGAGUGGCGCACGGGUGAGUAACGCGUAGGUAAUCUACCCUUUGGCGGGGGAUAACGUUCCGAAAGGAGCGCUAAUACCGCAUAAGACCACGGAGUCUCCGGACGCUGUGGGAAAAGGUGGCCUCUUCUUGAAAGCUACCACCGAAGGAUGAGCCUGCGUCCCAUCAGCUAGUUGGUAAGGUAAUGGCUUACCAAGGCGAAGACGGGUAGCUGGUUUGAGAGAAUGAUCAGCCACACUGGCACUGGAACACGGGCCAGACUCCUACGGGAGGCAGCAGUGAGGAAUAUUGGGCAAUGGGCGAAAGCCUGACCCAGCCACGCCGCGUGAGUGAUGAAGGCCCUCGGGUCGUAAAGCUCUGUGGAGAGGGACGAAAACCCUGGUUUCAAAUAGGCUCCAGGCUUGACGGUACCUCUUUAGCAAGCACCGGCUAACUCUGUGCCAGCAG